AACUAGGCCUGGGACCUGAUGAGAUGAAUCCAAGGAUAUUGAGGCAACUGGCAGAUGAAGUUGCUAAGACACUGUUCAUGAUAUAGGAGAACUUGUGGCAGUCCAGUGAAGGUCCCACUGAAUGGAAAAGGAGAAAUAUAACCCCCCAUUUU